AACCGCGAACGGCUCAUUACAACAGCGAUAAUUGACUAAACGAUGUUAAUCCUUUAAAUGGAUAACUGUGGUAAUUCUAGAGCUAAUACAUGGUUUGUAACAAAACGUUUAUCGGUUUGUUCAUUUAUUAGAUCAAAACCAAGCGACUCCGGUCGUUUAUGUUGGUGACUCUUAGUAACUUUGUUAAUCGCAUGGACUUGUUCCGGCGAUACGUUUAUCAAGUUUCUGCCCUAUCAACUUUUGAUGGUUGUGUAUUUGACAACCAUGGUGGUGACGGGUAACGGAGAAUUAGGGUUUGACUCCGGAGAGGGAGCCUGAGAAACGGCUACCACAUCCAAGGAAGGCAGCAGGCGCGAAAAUUACCCACUCUCAGUUCGAGGAGGUAGUGACGAAAAAUAACAAGACUGGUCGCUUUGCGAACAGUUAUUGGAAUGGGUACAAUUUAAACUCUUUAACGAGGACCUAUGAGAGGGCAAGUCUGGUGCCAGCAGCCGCGGUAAUUCCAGCUCUCAAAAUGUACUUAACCAUUGUUGCGGUUAAAAAGCUCGUAGUUGGAUCUUUGCGUCGUAGUAUGGUUCGUUCUUUGAACGCUACUAUGCUGUGAUGCUCUUAUUUGCAGGUUUUCGGCUAGUGUUCUUAACGGGAUGUUAGUUGUGGCUUGCGAGUUUACUUUGAAUUAAUUAGAGUGCUUAAAACAGGCGUUUUGCUUGAAUAUUCUAGCAUGGAAUAAUGGAAUAGGAUUUCGGUUCGAUUUUAUUGGUUUUAUGGAGCGAAAUAAUGAUUAGUAGGAAUAAACGGGGGCAUUCGUAUUGUUACGUUAGAG
rnacentral:rRNA from 1 species